rnacentral:rRNA from 1 species
CGGGGUGCAGCAGGCGCGAAAACUCUACAAUGCAGGCAACUGCGAUAGGGGAACAUCGAGUGAUACUCAUAUUGGGUGUCUGUCCCACCGUCUAAAAAACGGUGGUUAGCAAGGGCCGGGCAAGACCGGUGCCAGCCGCCGCGGUAAUACCGGCGGCUCGAGUGGUGGCCGAUAUUAUUGAGUCUAAAGGGUCCGUAGCCGGCUUUGCAAGUCUUUUGGGAAAUCCAGCGGCUUAACCGUUGGUCGUCCGGGAGAUACUACAUUGCUUGGGACUGGGAGAGGUAGGAGGUACUCAGGGGGUAGGAGUGAAAUCCUGUAAUCCUUUGGGGACCACCGGUGGCGAAGGCGUCCUACCAGAACAGGUCCGACGGUGAGGGACGAAAGCUAGGGGCACGAACCGGAUUAGAUACCCGGGUAGUCCUAGCCGUAAACGAUGCUCGCUAGGUGUCACAACAAUCGUGAAUUGUUGUGGUGCCGUAGGGAAGCCGUGAAGCGAGCCACUUGGGAAGUACGACCGCAAGGUUGAAACUUAAAGGAAUUGGCGGGGGAGCACAAGGGCGAAUCGCGG